ensembl:misc_RNA Metazoa_SRP Metazoan signal recognition particle RNA
GCCGGCUGUGGUGGUGCAUGCUUGUAGUCCCAGUUACUAGGGAGACUGAGACAGGAGAGUCACUUGAGUCCAGGAGUUCUGGGCUAUAAUGCACUAUGCCAAUUGGGUGUCCACACUGAGUUCUACCUCAGUAUGGUAGCCUCCUGGGAGUAGGGGACCACCAGGUUGCCUAGGGAGGGGUGAACCGGCCCAGGUCACAAACACCCAUGUGACAAAAAGGAAGAAGGCAUUUCAGUACAUACCUGAGAUUUUAGCCCACUGCACCAUGGCCACUAAAAAUAAUCUGUGUCA